rnacentral:rRNA from 1 species
AGCGAACGCUGGCGGCAGGCUUAACACAUGCAAGUCGAACGCAUCCUUCGGGGUGAGUGGCAGACGGGUGAGUAACGCGUGGGAACGUGCCCUUCAGUUCGGGAUAACCCAGGGAAACUUGGGCUAAUACCGGAUACGUGCGAGAGCAGAAAGAUUUAUCGCUGAAGGAUCGGCCCGCGUCUGAUUAGCUAGUUGGUGGGGUAAUGGCCCACCAAGGCGACGAUCAGUAGCUGGUCUGAGAGGAUGAUCAGCCACAUCGGGACUGAGACACGGCCCAAACUCCUACGGGAGGCAGCAGUGGGGAAUAUUGGACAAUGGGCGCAAGCCUGAUCCAGCCAUGCCGCGUGAGUGAUGAAGGCCUUAGGGUUGUAAAGCUCUUUCGUCCGGGACGAUAAUGACGGUACCGGAAGGAGAAGCCCCGGCUAACUUCGUGCCAGCCGCCGCCGUAA